rnacentral:rRNA from 1 species
GGAAUAUUGGUCAAUGGGCGGAAGCCUGAACCAGCCAUGCCGCGUGAAGGAAUAAGGCCCUAUGGGUCGUAAACUUCUUUUGACGGGGAGCAAUAAGGGCGUCGCGCACGCUCGAUGAGAGUACUCGUCGAAUAAGCAUCGGCUAACUCCGUGCCAGCAGCCGCGGUAAUACGGAGGAUGCAAGCGUUAUCCGGAUUUAUUGGGUUUAAAGGGUGCGUAGGCGGAUGCGUAAGUCAGGGGUGAAAUACCGGGGCUCAACCUCGGAACUGCCUUUGAUACUGCGUAUCUGGAGUUCGGAUGCCGUGGGAGGAAUGGGCAGUGUAGCGGUGAAAUGCAUAGAUAUUGCCCAGAACACCGAUUGCGAAGGCAUCUCACGAAUCCGACACUGACGCUGAGGCACGAAAGCGUGGGGAUCAAACA